GACGAACGCUGGCGGCGUGCUUAACACAUGCAAGUCGAGCGGUAAGGCCCUUUCGGGGGUACACGAGCGGCGAACGGGUGAGUAACACGUGGGUGACCUGCCCUCAGCUCUGGGAUAAGCCUGGGAAACCGGGUCUAAUACUGGAUAUGACUCCAUGACGCAUGUUGUGGGGUGGAAAGCCUUGUGCGGCUGAGGAUGGGCCCGCGGCCUAUCAGCUUGUUGGUGGGGUGAGGCCUACCAAGGCGACGACGGUAGCCGGCCUGAGAGGGCGACCGGCCACACUGGGACUGAGACACGGCCCAGACUCCUACGGGAGGCAGCAGUGGGGAAUCUUGCGCAAUGGGCGAAAGCCUGACGCAGCGACGCCGCGUGAGGGAUGACGGCCU
rnacentral:rRNA from 1 species